rnacentral:rRNA from 1 species
UACGUAGGGUGCAAGCGUUAAUCGGAAUUACUGGCGUAAGGCGUGCGCAGGCGGUUGUGCAAGACAGAUGUGAAAUCCCCGGGCUCAACCUGGGAAUUGCAUUUGUGACUGCACGGCUAGAGUGUGUCAGAGGGGGGUAGAAUUCCACGGUGUAGCAGUGAAAUGCGUAGAGAUGUGGAGGAAUACCGAUGGCGAAGGCAGCCCCCUGGGAUAACACUGACGCUCAUGCACGAAAGCGUGGGGAGCAAACAGG